AAAGAAUAACUGUGGCUUACUAGGAACAGUGUCUCAUUAUGUGAGUUUAGUUAGCUUCCUAACUACUGGGAUCAGAUGCUUGAUGCCUGAUGCGACCUGGGUUUGAUUUCCAGCACCCUCCACGGCUCACAACCGUGUGUAACUUCAAUUGAAAGUGGUCUGAUGUUCUCCUCCUGGGCAUCAGGUACUUACUGUUUUACACACACACACACACACACACACACACUAUUCAUAUACAAAGUAAAAUAAAUGAAUCUUUUUAAAAAGUAGCCUUCUACUAGACACAGAGUCCUUUUUCUAAGAUUGAAGCAUU